AGGACUAACGUUGGCGGCGUGCAUAACACAUGCAAGUUGAGCGUGGCUUUAGUUUACUAAAGUCUAGCAGCGGACGGCUGAGUAAUGCACAGGAACGUACCUCGAAGUGGGGGAUAGCCCUUCGAAAGAAGGGGUAAUACCGCAUGUAGUCGCAAGACUAAAGCCGCAAGGCGCUUUGAGAGCGGCCUGUGUCCUAUCAGGUUGUUGGUGGGGUAAUUGCCUACCAAGCCUAUGACGGGUAACUGGUCUGAGAGGAUGACCAGUCAGAUCGGGACUGAGACACGGCCCGAACUCCUACGGGAGGCAGCAGUGGGGAAUUUUGCGCAAUGGGGGAAACCCUGACGCAGCAACGCCGCGUGGAGGAUGAAGUCCCUUGGGACGUAAACUCCUUUCGAUCGGGACGAUUAUGACGGUACCGGAAGAAGAAGCCCCGGCUAACUUCGUGCCAGCAGCCGC
rnacentral:rRNA from 1 species